rnacentral:tRNA from 1 species
UGGAGUGUGGCUCAGUAGCAGAGUACUUGUCUAGCAUGUCCAAGAGCCUUGGGUUUGAUCCCCAACACAGCAA